rnacentral:rRNA from 1 species
UGGGGAAUAUUGCACAAUGGGCGCAAGCCUGAUGCAGCCAUGCCGCGUGUGUGAAGAAGGCCUUCGGGUUGUAAAGCACUUUCAGCGAGGAGGAAGGUGGUGACUUAAUACGUCAUCAAUUGACGUUACUCGCAGAAGAAGCACCGGCUAACUCCGUGCCAGCAGCCGCGGUAAUACGGAGGGUGCAAGCGUUAAUCGGAAUUACUGGGCGUAAAGCGCACGCAGGCGGUUUGUUAAGUCAGAUGUGAAAUCCCCGGGCUCAACCUGGGAACUGCAUUUGAAACUGGCAAGCUAGAGUCUCGUAGAGGGGGGUAGAAUUCCAGGUGUAGCGGUGAAAUGCGUAGAGAUCUGGAGGAAUACCGGUGGCGAAGGCGGCCCCCCUGGACGAAGACUGACGCUCAGGUGCGAAAGCGUGGGGCAGCAAACAGGAUUAGAUACCCUGGUAGUCCACGCUGUAAACGAUGUCGAUUUGGAGGUUGUGCCCUUGAGGCGUGGCUUCCGGAGCUAACGCGUUAAAUCGACCGCCUGGGGAGUACGGCCGCAAGGUUAAAACUUAAAUGAAUUGACGGGGUCAUAGCUGUUUCCU